UACGAAGGGGGCUAGCGUUGCUCGGAAUUACUGGGCGUAAAGCGCACGUAGGCGGCUUCUUAAGUCGGUGGUGAAAUCCUGGAGCUCAGCUCCAGAACUGCCUUCGAUACUGGGAAGCUCGAGUCCGGGAGAGGUGAGUGGAACUGCGAGUGUAGAGGUGAAAUUCGUAGAUAUUCGCAAGAACACCAGUGGCGAAGGCGGCUCACUGGCCCGGUACUGACGCUGAGGUGCGAAAGCGUGGGGAGCAAACAGG
rnacentral:rRNA from 1 species